AAGAAAUCUGAUAGAUAGAAAAAAGAUAGAAGAUAUACAGAUAGAAAAUCAAGAAGAAAGAUGUUGCUGUAUGUGUCUUCUUCUUCCUUUCCUUCAUGGCCGUUAAGAGACGAGAAGAAACUUACGGAGAGAGGAAUACGUUUGAGAAGCAAAACCCGAAAUAGAGAGGACUAUUAAUAGUUCACGAUAUCUUCUUCUUCAUCUUCAUCUUCUUCUUCUUCUUCUAAUACUUCUGGAUCCCGUCUCGUAUGAACUUGAAGAGAGAAAUACUGGAACGCAGUGUGUGGUCGUCUUUACAAACAAAAAUCCGAUAAAAUCGAAGGACACGAGAGGAUUAUUUCCAGGAUUUAAAAUGAGAAAAACUACUACUACUACUACUACUACUACUGUCUUUCUCUUUCUCAUUACGAAGGAUUAGAAGAAAUUCAAGAUGGUGGUUUUAGAAAGAAAAGAAAAGGUGGAAGAAAUUUUUUUGGGGACUUAAUGGAGGAGGACCUUAGCGAAGGUUGGUGGGUGUACAAUACAAGUGAAAGAAAAUAAAACGAUGCAAGGUGUAGUAGUAGUAGUAAUAUUAUUAGUGUCGACGAUGAUGACGAUGACAAUGGUUGUUAACACGUGACACACAGUGCCGGAUCUCGCGUGUUUGUGUGCCCGCGGGUUUUAAGUGUGCACGAGUGUGUAAAAGUGAAGAAGAAAGUCACAUACAUAUAUACACACACACCCCUAUAUAUAUAUAUAUAUAUUAGAAAGGGGGUGAACGUACAGUGAGUGUUGAUAAUCGAAGAAGUGACAAACAAAAGAAAAGGAAAUUAUUCAAAUAAUACCUAAUAUUAUUAAUAACAAUAAUAAUAUUAAUA